UACGUAGGGGGCAAGCGUUGUCCGGAUUCAUUGGGCGUAAAGCGCGUGUAGGCGGCCAGGUAGGUCUGGUGUGAAAACUCGAGGCUCAACCUCGAGAGGUCAUCGGAAACCAUCUGGCUAGAGUCCGGAAGAGGAGAGUGGAAUUCCCAGUGUAGCGGUGAAAUGCGUAGAUAUUGGGAGGAACACCAGUGGCGAAGGCGGCUCACUGGACCGGAACUGACGCUGAGGCGCGAAAGCGUGGGGAGCAAACAGG
rnacentral:rRNA from 1 species